AGCAGCAUGGCGCAGUUGGAAGCGCGCGGGGCUCAUAUUAACCAUGUAUGCCACCCUGAGGUCACUCGAUCGAAACGAGUUGCUGCUA